ACGAACGCUGGCGGCGUGCUUAACACAUGCCAGUCGAACGGAAAGGCCCUGCUUUUGUGGGGUGCUCGAGUGGCGAACGGGUGAGUAACACGUGAGUAACCUGCCCUUGACUUUGGGAUAACUUCAGGAAACUGGGGCUAAUACCGGAUAGGAGCUCCUGCUGCAUGGUGGGGGUUGGAAAGUUUCGGCGGUUGGGGAUGGACUCGCGGCUUAUCAGCUUGUUGGUGGGGUAGUGGCUUACCAAGGCUUUGACGGGUAGCCGGCCUGAGAGGGUGACCGGCCACAUUGGGACUGAGAUACGGCCCAGUCUCCUACGGGAGGCAGCAGUGGGGAAUAUUGCACAAUGGGCGGAAGCCUGAUGCAGCAACGCCGCGUGCGGGAUGACGGCCUUCGGGUUGUAAACCGCUUUCGCCUGUGACGAAGCGUGAGUGACGGUAAUGGGUAAAGAAGCACCGGCUAACUACGUG
rnacentral:rRNA from 1 species